rnacentral:rRNA from 1 species
CGGGCCUUCUUAGGUCUGGCAAUUGGAAUGAGAACAAUUUAAACCCCUUAUCGAGUAUCAAUUGGAGGGCAAGUCUGGUGCCAGCAGCCGCGGUAAUUCCAGCUCCAAUAGCGUAUAUUAAAGUUGUUGCAGUUAAAAAGCUCGUAGUUGGAUUUGUGGUGUGUCCAGUCGGCCUUUGCUCUUUGAGUGAUUGCGCUGUACUGGUCUGCCAUGUUUGGGUGGAAUCUGUGUGGCAUUAAGUUGUCGUACUGAGGGUGCCCAUCGUUUACUGUGAAAAAAUUAGAGUGUUCAAAGCAGGCUUAUGCCGUUGAAUAUAUUAGCAUGGAAUAAUGAUAUAGGACCUUGGUACUAUUUUGUUGGUUUGCGCACUAAGGUAAUGAUUAAGAGGGACAGUUGGGGGUAUUUGUAUUCCAUUGUCAGAGGUGAAAUUCUUGGAUUUUUGGAAGACAAACUACUGCGAAAGCAUUUACCAAGGAUGUUUUCAUUGAUCAAGAACGAAAGUAUGGGGAU